rnacentral:rRNA from 1 species
GAUGAACGCUGACAGAAUGCUUAACACAUGCAAGUCUACUUGAACUUCGGUUUGGGUGGCGGCCGGGUGAGUAACGCGUAAAGAACUUGCCUCACAGUUAGGGACAACAUUUGGAAACGAAUGCUAAUACCUGAUAUUAUGAUUUUAGGGCAUCCUAAGAUUAUGAAAGCUAUAUGCACUGUGAGAGAGCUUUGCGUCCCAUUAGCUAGUUGGAGAGGUAACGGCUCACCAAGGCGAUGAUGGGUAGCCGGCCUGAGAGGGUGAACGGCCACAAGGGGACUGAGACACGGCCCUUACUCCUACGGGAGGCAGCAGUGGGGAAUAUUGGACAAUGGACCAAAAGUCUGAUCCAGCAAUUCUGUGUGCACGAUGACGUUUUUCGGAAUGUAAAGUGCUUUCAGUUGGGAAGAAAAAAAUGACGGUACCAACAGAAGAAGUGACGGCUAAAUACGUG